rnacentral:rRNA from 1 species
UACGAAGGGGGCUAGCGUUGUUCGGAAUUACUGGGCGUAAAGCGCGCGCAGGCGGUCUUCCAAGUCAGUGGUGAAAGCCCGGAGCUCAACUCCGGAACUGCCAUUGAAACUGUUAGACUUGAGGAUGAGAGAGGUGAGUGGAAUUCCCAGUGUAGAGGUGAAAUUCGUAGAUAUUGGGAAGAACACCGGUGGCGAAGGCGGCUCACUGGCUCAUUACUGACGCUCGAGGCGCGAUAGCGUGGGGAUCAAACAGG